rnacentral:lncRNA from 1 species
UCUCCGCUUCGCAAGCACAGGUGAAGAGGUGCACCAGCGAGAGCAGCACAACAAGUCAUGUCAAUCGCUACUGUCACCAAUCCAUCUCUCUGUUCAUCCCCUUCCCUUUUCAGAGCACAGCCUACCAGGAGAAGUCCACCCUCCUUUCUCCUCCCCCACUUCUCCUGCACCAGAUCCUAUAAGCAUAGAGGCCUUGUUGCUAGAGCGGAUUCUUCUUCUUCUUCUUCUUCUUCUUCUUCUUCAGCUAUUGAGUCUCAGCCAUCGAAGUCGGACGGUGGGGAGGACGGAGCAGGAGAAGGUGAGGAGUACGAGGUUGAAUUGGAGAAGCCAUAUGGGCUAAAGUUCGUGAAGGGACGUGAUGGAGGCACCUACAUCGAUGCGAUAGCACCCGGUAGCGCCGCCGAUAGGUCGGGGAUGUUCACUGUGGGAGACAG